CUCGGUUGAUCUCGACCCCAGCCACCGCAACGGCCGCCGGCCGCCACUGCGGCCGGUUGGCCGUCGACUGAGGGGUGGCCUCCGGCCACCCCGCCGCCGCCGCCGCCGCCCCUUCCUCUUCCGCUCUCCCUCUCGGUCUUCCCCUGCCGUGGGGGGGAUUGGGGGAGGAGGACGACCCUACGGGCCGAACAGGGCCAAACAUGGGCCCUGUUCACAGUGGGCCCGAUCUGGGCCCGGUUCACUGUGGGCCCAACAUGGGCCCGGUUAAAAAAAAAAAAUCCGAUUCCAAAACCCAGAUCAAACCCGAGAACUCGAACCCGAACCUGAACUGGAAUCCGAAUCCGAAUCCGAACCUGAACCCGAACCUGAACCUGAACCUGAACUGAAAUCCGAACCCGAACCCGAAACCCGGGACCCGAAACCCAAACCCAUUAGACCAGUAAACAGAUUAUUUGCAGUUAAGCCCUUGGCAGUAUGCUAUUUCAGAAAUAGGAUCUUCAGUAAUUUGUAUUUGAUCCCUAUAGGAAAGACUUAUUACAUAAAGGUCCCUAACAAUAGUUAUUUAGUCCUCUCACUCAAGUUUUAUUAUAGAACAUUACUCUGUAAUUAAAUAUUAGUCCCUGCAAUAAAUUUUAUUGCAUAAAUGAACCAAUUAGAAGCCAACCAUGGGGGCCCUAUUUAGCCGAGUCUAUGCGGGCCCAUUGGGCCGAGUCCGAUAUGGGCCCUAUCAGGCCAUGCCCAUUAUGGGCCAACUUUGGGCUCUGUUGGACCAUGUCCAAUAGUAUUAUUUUUGAAUUUUGCUUAGUCUGAAAUUAACAAAAAAUUAAUUAAACUUUAACAGGUGAACCCGAUCCGUCUACCUGAAGUAGGAAUCAAGCGAGAAGAGGUAAGUAACUUAAUACUUCGAGUGUGAUUUCUAAAUUAUUUGAUAAAUAGAUUAAAUUCUGAAAUAUGUUUUGUAUUUAGUAAAAUGGGUCUGGCAUGUUAAAUUUCUGAAAAUUAUGCUUUGAAAUCCGUAAACUAUGACUGAAAAAUUUAUGAAAUCUGUUUUU
rnacentral:lncRNA from 1 species